UUGCAUAGGGGAUCUACCUAGUAGUAUAGGAUAGCCACUAGAAAUGGUGGGUAAUACUGUAUAAUCCCUGCGGGGGAAAGAUUUAUCGCUACUAGAUGAGCCUAUGUCAGAUUAGCUAGUUGGUGGGGUAAUGGCCCACCAAGGCUGUGAUCUGUAGCUGGUCUGAGAGGAUGAUCAGCCACACUGGAACUGAGACACGGUCCAGACUCCUACGGGAGGCAGCAGUGGGGAAUAUUGGACAAUGGGCGCAAGCCUGAUCCAGCUAUGCCGCGUGAGUGAGGAAGGCCUUAGGGUUGUAAAACUCUUUCAGUAGGGAAGAUAAUGACGGUACCUACAGAAGAAGUCCCGGCAAACUCCGUGCCAGCAGCCGCGGUAAUACGGAGGGGGCAAGCGUUGUUCGGAAUUAUUGGGCGUAAAGGGCAUGUAGGCGGUUUGGUAAGUUAAAGGUGAAAUACCAGGGCUUAACCCUGGGGCUGC
rnacentral:rRNA from 1 species